rnacentral:lncRNA from 1 species
AUCAUGGAUCAGGAAUUACCUCAAUCAGAUCAAUUAUCAUCAAUUUAAACGAGCUCAUAAGGAAUUUAAAAUAAAAUUCUUGGGCAAUUCAUUUGAACAUCCAUGCUCAGUAUGUGACAGAUUGUGGUUUAAAAAGGAUUUAAAAGAGCCAUCUAAUGAACAUAA